rnacentral:rRNA from 1 species
UGGAGGCAGCAGUGGGGAAUAUUGCACAAUGGGGGAAACCCUGAUGCAGCGACGCCGCGUGAGUGAAGAAGUAUUUCGGUAUGUAAAGCUCUAUCAGCAGGGAAGAAAAUGACGGUACCUGACUAAGAAGCCCCGGCUAACUACGUGCCAGCAGCCGCGGUAAUACGUAGGGGGCAAGCGUUAUCCGGAUUUACUGGGUGUAAAGGGAGCGUAGGUGGUCUGAUAAGUCAGAUGUGAAAGCCCGGGGCUCAACCCCGGGACUGCAUCUGAUACUAUCAGGCUUGAGUGCAGGAGAGGUAAGUGGAAUUCCUAGUGUAGCGGUGAAAUGCGUAGAUAUUAGGAGGAACACCAGUGGCGAAGGCGGCUUACUGGACUGUAACUGACACUGAGGCUCGAAAGCGUGGGGAGCAAACAGGAUUAGAUACCCCGGU